rnacentral:rRNA from 1 species
AUGAGUGCAACCACUUUCCGAUAUCUUAUAUCCUUGGCAGUGCAAAAUCGUCUAUCUAUGCAGUUGAUGGACGUCGUGACCGCAUACCUUUACGGGUCACUAGAUUCGGACAUAUAUAUGAAGGUUCCUGAUGGAAUCUCUGUCCCGAAUAAAAAUGCAAAACGCAACAUGUAUUGUGUAAAGCUGAAUAAGUCAUUAUAUGGCUUAAGGCAGUCGGGACGGAUGUGGUACAACCGACUCAGUGAGUUCCUUCUUCAGAAAGGUUACUCCAAUAGUGCUGAUUGCCCAUGUGUUUCAAGAAGUACAUGA